AGAGUUUGAUCCUGGCUCAGAAUCAACGCUGGCGGCGCGCCUAACACAGGCAAGUCGAACGGGAAAGUGGGCAACCAUGAGUAUAGUGGCGUACGGGUGAGUAACACGUGGGUAAUCUGCCUCUUAGUGGGGAAUAACCCUGGGAAACCGGGGCUAAUACCGCAUAAGCUCGCGAGAGGAAAGCAGCAAUGCGCUGAGAGAGGAGCCCGCGGCCGAUUAGCUAGUUGGGAGGGUAAAAGCCUACCAAGGCAAAGAUCGGUAGCCGGCCUGAGAGGGCACACGGCCACACUGGCACUGAAACACGGGCCAGACUCCUACGGGAGGCAGCAGUGGGGAAUCUUGCACAAUGGGGAAAACCCUGAUGCAGCGACGCCGCGUGAGCGAUGAAGCCCUUCGGGGUGUAAAGCUCUUUCGGCAGGGAAGAUGAUGACGGUACCUGCAGAAGCAGCUGCGGCUAACUACGUGCCAGCAGCCGCGGUAAUACGUAGGCAGCAAGCGUUGUUCGGAGUUACUGGGCGUAAAGGGUGUGUAGGCGGUUCUUUAAGUUUGGUGUGAAACCUCCCGGCUCAACCGGGAGGGUGCGCCGAAUACUGAGGGACUCGAGUGCGGGAGAGGAAAGUGGAAUUCCUGGUGUAGCGGUGAAAUGCGUAGAUAUCAGGAGGAACACCGGUGGUGUAGACGGCUUUCUGGACCGUAACUGACGCUGAAACACGAAAGCGUGGGUAGCAAACAGGAUUAGAUA
rnacentral:rRNA from 1 species